rnacentral:rRNA from 1 species
GGACUACUCGGGUAUCUAAUCCUGUUUGCUCCCCACGCUUUCGCACCUCAGCGUCAGUAUCAGUCCAGCGAGUCGCCUUCGCCACUGGUGUUCCACCGAAUAUCUACGAAUUUCACCUCUACACUCGGUAUUCCACUCGCCUCUCCUGAUCUCAAGGUCUGCAGUCUAGAAGGCAGUUCCCAGGUUGAGCCUGGGGAUUUCACCCCCUACUUACAGAUCCGCCUACGUGCGCUUUACGCCCAGUAAUUCCGAACAACGCUAGCCCCCUUCGUAUUACCGCGGCUGCUGGCAC